rnacentral:rRNA from 1 species
UGCCAGCCGCCGCGGUAAUACGGAGGGUGCAAGCGUUGCUCGGAAUUACUGGGCGUAAAGCGUCCGCAGGCGGGUGGAUAAGUUGGAUGUGAAAGCCCGGGGCUCAACCCCGGAACUGCAUUCAAAACUGUCUACCUUGAGUGCGUGAGAGGGAAGCGGAAUUCCUGGUGUAGAGGUGAAAUUCGUAGAUAUCAGGAGGAACACCAGUGGCGAAAGCGGCUUCCUGGCAUGACACUGACGCUCAUGGACGAAAGCGUGGGGAGUAAACAGGAUUAGAUA